UGGGGAAUUUUGGACAAUGGGCGCAAGCCUGAUCCAGCAAUGCCGCGUGCAGGAUGAAGGCCUUCGGGUUGUAAACUGCUUUUGUACGGAGCGAAAAGGUCUGCCCUAAUACGGUGGGCUCAUGACGGUACCGUAAGAAUAAGCACCGGCUAACUACGUGCCAGCAGCCGCGGUAAUACGUAGGGUGCGAGCGUUAAUCGGAAUUACUGGGCGUAAAGCGUGCGCAGGCGGUUAUGCAAGACAGAGGUGAAAUCCCCGGGCUCAACCUGGGAACUGCCUUUGUGACUGCAUAGCUAGAGUACGGUAGAGGGGGAUGGAAUUCCGCGUGUAGCAGUGAAAUGCGUAGAUAUGCGGAGGAACACCGAUGGCGAAGGCGACCACCUGGACUGAUACUGACACUGAGGUGCGAAAGCGUGGGGAGCAAACA
rnacentral:rRNA from 1 species